rnacentral:rRNA from 1 species
UCGAACGGUAACAGGAUGUGCUUGCACAUCGCUGACGAGUGGCGGACGGGUGAGUAAUGCUUGGGAACUUGCCUUUGCGAGGGGGAUAACAGUUGGAAACGACUGCUAAUACCGCAUAAUGUCUUCGGACCAAACGGGGCUCCGGCUCCGGCGCAAAGAGAGGCCCAAGUGAGAUUAGCUAGUUGGUAAGGUAACGGCUUACCAAGGCGACGAUCUCUAGCUGUUCUGAGAGGAAGAUCAGCCACACUGGGACUGAGACACGGCCCAGACUCCUACGGGAGGCAGCAGUGGGGAAUAUUGCACAAUGGGGGAAACCCUGAUGCAGCCUGCCGCGUGUGUGAAGAAGGCCUUCGGGUUGUAAAGCACUUUCAGUUGUGAGGAAAAGUUAGUAGUUAAUACCUGCUAGCCGUGACGUUAACAACAGAAGAAGCACCGGCUAACUCCGUGCCAGCAGCCGCGGUAAUACGGAGGGUGCGAGCGUUAAUCGGAAUUACUGGGCGUAAAGCGCACGCAGGCGGUUUGUUAAGCUAGAUGUGAAAGCCCCGGGCUCAACCUGGGAAGU